AAAAUUACUGGCGGGGAGAUACCAUGAUCAUGAAGGUGGUUUUCCCAGGGCAAGGCUCAUCCAUUGCACUCCAGAUGCCGGAUGUGCUGACCCCUGUGAUUUCCCCAAAUGUGGUAAACUGAACUGCAAAGCUUGUGGUAGUGGGGGACUGUGUUUGUGCAUUCCCCUG